GGUGCUUGCAUCUUGAUUUAAUUUUGAACGAGUGGCGGACGGGUGAGUAACACGUGGGUAACCUGCCCUUAAGUGGGGGAUAACAUUUGGAAACAGAUGCUAAUACCGCAUAAAUCCAAGAACCGCAUGGUUCUUGGCUGAAAGAUGGCGUAAGCUAUCGCUUUUGGAUGGACCCGCGGCGUAUUAGCUAGUUGGUGAGGUAACGGCUCACCAAGGCAAUGAUACGUAGCCGAACUGAGAGGUUGAUCGGCCACAUUGGGACUGAGACACGGCCCAAACUCCUACGGGAGGCAGCAGUAGGGAAUCUUCCACAAUGGACGCAAGUCUGAUGGAGCAACGCCGCGUGAGUGAAGAAGGCUUUCGGGUCGUAAAACUCUGUUGUUGGAGAAGAAUGGUCGGCAGAGUAACUGUUGUCGGCGUGACGGUAUCCAACCAGAAAGCCACGGCUAACUACGUGCCAGCAGCCGCGGUAAUACGUAGGUGGCAAGCGUUAUCCGGAUUUAUUGGGCGUAAAGCGAGCGCAGGCGGUUUUUUAAGUCUGAUGUGAAAGCCCUCGGCUUAACCGAGGAAGUGCAUCGGAAACUGGGAAACUUGAGUGCAGAAGAGGACAGUGGAACUCCAUGUGUAGCGGUGAAAUUGCGUAGAUAUAUGGAAGAACACCAGUGGCGAAGGCGGCUGUCUGGUCUGUAACUGACGCUGAGGCUCGAAAGCAUGGGUAGCGAACAGGAUUAGAUACCCUGGUAGUCCAUGCCGUAAACGAUGAAUGCUAGGUGUUGGAGGGUUUCCGCCCUUCAGUGCCGCAGCUAACGCAUUAAGCAUUCCGCCUGGGGAGUACGACCGCAAGGUUGAAACUCAAAGGAAUUGACGGGGGCCCGCACAAGCGGUGGAGCAUGUGGUUUAAUUCGAAGCAACGCGAAGAACCUUACCAGGUCUUGACAUCUUUUGAUCACCUGAGAGAUCAGGUUUCCCCUUCGGGGGCAAAAUGACAGGUGGUGCAUGGUUGUCGUCAGCUCGUGUCGUGAGAUGUUGGGUUAAGUCCCGCAACGAGCGCAACCCUUAUGACUAGUUGCCAGCAUUUAGUUGGGCACUCUAGUAAGACUGCCGGUGACAAACCGGAGGAAGGUGGGGAUGACGUCAAAUCAUCAUGCCCCUUAUGACCUGGGCUACACACGUGCUACAAUGGAUGGUACAACGAGUUGCGAGACCGCGAGGUCAAGCUAAUCUCUUAAAGCCAUUCUCAGUUCGGACUGUAGGCUGCAACUCGCCUACACGAAGUCGGAAUCGCUAGUAAUCGCGGAUCAGCACGCCGCGGUGAAUACGUUCCCGGGCCUUGUACACACCGCCCGUCACACCAUGAGAGUUUGUAACACCCGAAGCCGGUGG
rnacentral:rRNA from 1 species